rnacentral:tRNA from 1 species
GAGGUGGUAGUUUAAUAAAAAUUUAAAUUUGUCAAGUUUAAGAUGCCUUCUCUGGCUCACCUCA